CCUUAUUCCCAGCAGGCACUCGACGUUGUUUCAACGUUGAAACAACGUUGAAAUAUGGUCGUGACGUUGUUCAACCAAUAUUCAACUAUGGACGACCAUACGGAUAUAUUGCCAAUGUAUAUACAACGUUGAUUCAACGUUGUUUAUGGUCGAAGUUUUACAUUUAGUUUAAUCAUUAUAUAAACUUUUAUACCACUAAUUUUGUGAUAUUAUUCCUUUAUUGAAUUAGUCUGUAACUGAUAUUUGUCAGGAAAAUUUGCGUUACAAUCUUUUUCCGUAUAUUCAAAAUUAGCGCUUAAACAAAUAAAGUUGGAAAUAAUUUUUCACUUUCUAUUAACGCUUUAAAUAUUAGUUAAUAUGUUUUGUUGUUUGUUGUUUUAUUCUUUAGUUCUUUAUGAAUAAUAAUUAAUAAAUUGGUAUUAGUCAAAACCCCGUUUAUAAAAUAACGCCGGUCAGGGGAAGUAAUUGUUGCGGUCUACGAUUUUGUUUGUUGUCCAUGAUUAUCGUUCGUGCAAAUGGUGGCGCUGUUUGGAAAAUUUGAAAACAACACGAUUGACAAUUUAUUUGGAUUUCGAAGAUCCUGGUCCUGGAAAGAGUAUUGCAGCUGUAGCCUGUAUACCAUACAUUCGCUGUGGCCUGUAUACCAUACAUUCAACAUGAAAAGGACUGUCAGGAUGCUGCAUAAAAUGGUCUUAGCUAGAGCCUAGAAUGUUAAUUUCUUGGGAAUAUGCUGCAAGGAACUGACGGGGAGCAGUUUUUCUUACCAAUCAUAGAAGCAGUAAGAGACAGCCAAAGAAGUACUCAAACACUUGACAUACCCAGAAAGAUCAAGAAGAAAAGAUUGGAACAGAUUGUAGCUUAAUUGAUAAAACUAUUAAAGUGAAUUUAAGCUGCACUUGAACUGUAUUUUUGAAAUAAAAUAUCUGAAGUAUUUAA